rnacentral:rRNA from 1 species
GACGAACGCUGGCGGCGUGCUUAACACAUGCAAGUCGAGCGGAAAGGCCACUUCGGUGGUACUCGAGCGGCGAACGGGUGAGUAACACGUGAGUAAUCUGCCCUUGGCUUUGGGAUAGCCACCGGAAACGGUGAUUAAUACCGGAUACGACCACUUCUCGCAUGGGAUGGUGGUGGAAAGUUUUUCGGCCAGGGAUGUGCUCGCGGCCUAUCAGCUUGAUGGUGAGGUAAUGGCUCACCAUGGCUUCGACGGGUAGCCGGCCUGAGAGGGUGACCGGUCACACUGGGACUGAGACACGGCCCAGACUCCUACGGGAGGCAGCAGUGGGGAAUAUUGGACAAUGGGCGGAAGCCUGAUCCAGCAACGCCGCGUGAGGGAUGACGGCCUUCGGGUUGUAAACCUCUUUCGGUGGGGACGAAGCGCAAGUGACGGUACCCACUAAAGAAGCACCGGCCAACUACGUGCCAGCCGCCGCCGUAAAAC